AUGGCCUGCCCCAAAUGUCUGCACUGCCACACGUCUUUAAAACAGAGAUCAGGCUUUUAUCCUCUAGUCCAACAUAUUUCUCACAUUUGUGUGUGUGUACGUGUGUGUGUGCACGUGUGUGUAGGUGUGUGUGUGUGUGAGCAUGCACAGGAGAUCGGAAUCAACUGGCAGCAGCCUGGCAUCCUUCAAACUUCUGCCUUCCCCGCCCCCCACCUAUACAUCAUCCCUUUGGAAAGGUCAUCCCCGAUGCGGGGGUUGCCAGGUCAGGGUGGCAACGGCUCGGCCACGGCCCUCAUUAUGCUGAGCCUCACCGACCUCCAUCCUUCGUCGCCCCGAAGUCAGUAUUUCAUCCGGGAGCUAAAAUUAAGUCAUCAUCCCUCCUCUGAGCAACCACUCCUGAAAUACAAAUUUGACACCACCAGGUUGGAGGAGGAUCACAUUGCAUUUGCAAACGUGUCCCCUGUGACUUGAGCUUUAUCGCUUGGGAGUCAAGAGGCACUCUCUGAGGCAAGAUUUAUGAAUAAAUAAUUAACCAUGAAAAUAAAACCAGCCCUGAAAAAGAAGCGGGUCCUUUCCAUUUACAGGCAAAGUUUCUCUUGUGGAUGUCACUCUCUCUUUUGUGCGCACAGCAUUUUUAAGGGGAAAAAAAAAAAAUUCCAGGAUGCACCAGCCUGACCCAACUGUGGGAGCUGUGAAAACCGGAGAACAGAUUCUGCCUCUUCUGGGGGGGCUUCCUGGAUCUUCAGAACGAAGCUGAGUCACCCAGACAUGGAGGGGCAGUGGCAAGCUCACCGCCUGUCCCGGGUGCCUUCUUCCCACCCCUGUGCGCCUUUCCCGGCCAGGAGCAUGGGGACACCCUCCCAGGGGCUCCUCCAGCCUGCCCACGUCCUUCCCAGAUGGGGGACUGAGAUGAGCGGUGACGCAAGGCCUUGAGAGAAGACCCCAGAGCUCACUCAACACCCACUUCCCAGUUGAUAGGUUCCCAGGGAGAUGGAGACAGAACUCCCAGCCCACCCGUACCCCCAGAAUGUGGCUGUUCUGAGUUGGGUAGUGAGAAACAACGGCCUGAGAAAAAGAACUGCCUGCACAGAUUAACCCCUACAAAGACUGACUGCUCUCCCCUCCCCCGAGUCAUGUGACCUUCUCCUCCUUCUUUCUUGCCCCCCCCCACAAGUUCCCGCCACAUCCUCCACAAGCCCAGCAUCUCCUCGCAGCCACAGCAGGUGCAAUCUUGAGCUCAACCGGUCUGUUUCAGUUGCCUUAAUAAAUCUCUCAUUUUACCCUCUCAGCCUGCCUGUUCCUCCCUCAGCAAACCUACCACCAGUUGGGCUUUCUCUCUAAGCGCAUCUCACAAGGAUGAGACGAAACACGGAGGACCCUGGGGAAAUCCAACCCACUUCCCAGGCGACUUGGGGCGAAAAAUCACAAGUAGAGAGAGCUCCCUGUCUCCUUUAAACGAAAACAGCAGCAUCUGGAGAAACCCCGCCGCUGUCCUAGGCUCUGCGUCUCUCCAGUGCACGAGUGCCUGGAAGUCUCGCCUCCUGCUGAGCGGCCCAUCCUCAGCCUCCUUUCAAGGCACCAAACGUCCCCGUGUGGGGACAGGAACCCAAAGAGGAGAGGCCUUGCUGCCCACCCUACACCCACAGGGGCGAACAGGAUGUCAGCGAUGGGAGCCAAGGGACUGCAGCGCACUUGCUGGGCCCUUCAUCCAGGGAGAGGCACAAAAUAAAACCGAGAGCCCGCCUAUGCACAGCUCCCAUGGCUCCCUGCUCUCAUCUGCCUCCUCCUGACUCCUUUGAGUCCUGGCUUCUCUGAAGAAAGAGAAGGCAUCAAAUUUUUCUGGACCCCAACCAUCUCCCUAGGAUCAGAAAGAAGGCGGCCACUUCCAGCCUCUUGGUUCUGCCUGGAGAGGGGGAGGGGAAAGAAGGGGGGAGGGGACAAGGGAGCCUCAAGGGAGUAGCUGGGGUCUAGAAGGUUCCUCGUCCUCUGUUCCACACAGAUGCCUGCAGGUGGGUGGGGACCCCUGUCGCAGAAGCGAACACAGCAGAAACACUCUUGCCAUCAAAUGGCGAUCAAAGCUCUUACAGCUCCCACGCGUCCCCUCAGAAGCGAGGUUCAUUUUAAAAAGAAUCCCUCCAGCAACUUCAGGGCCCUCACUGUUCUCCUACCUUCCCCAGGCUGCCAGCUUUGAGCAGGACCUCUGCUGGGUGCGCUUCUCCGAGACAGUCUCUCGCAUUGACUUUCCCCUUGAGGAAUUUUUGGAGAUGAUAUUAGCAGAUGCCCUUUUAAACCCAAAGCCGAACACCAAUGGCAGGUUUGGGUUUGUUUAGUAAGCGGCUCGCUUCUGUCCUACAUUCCUGACAAAUUCCUACUGACUGCUUCGCUUAUGCUUAAAGCGAUCUUUUAAAAGUCCUACCUGAAAUAGCUGAAGCAGCUUUAUUCUAACGGACAUACAAUAAACGGCAGGUAUUUAAAGUGUACGACUUGAUAAGUUUUAACAAAGGGACACACCCAUAAAGCCGUCCCUCCCACCGAGAUGGGCUGGGGUUUGGAACGGGCACGUGCACACCGUGGUGAAGGAAUGACUGACCAAGAAGGACCUGCUGUACAGCACAGGGAACUCUACCCAGUGUUCCGCGAUGGUCCCCGUGGGGAAAGAACCUGAAAGAGAACGGAGCUGUGUCCAUGCAGAACUCCAUCCCUUUGCUGCACAGCAGAAAUUGUCACAACACUGUAAGCCAGCUUGACUUCAAUACAACUUUAAAAAAUGAAAAAAAGAGAGAAACAUAGCCAUCACCCUCCAGAGUUUCUUCAAGCUCGUCUCAAACCUAUUUAAUAGCAAAAUCACAUAGGUUCUGUCCUAGAUCUGACCAGAACCAGCUGCCUGCCCCUGGGUCUCUUUGCAAGUUUUCAUACCCUCCCAUGUUAAGGAAGGGGUUGGAUUAGACCAUCUCGCUCGUCCUUUAAGCCCAGGCUCUAGUCUGGAGCCCAGCCUACGAGGGUGGAUGGUCACCCAUGGGGUCUCUCAUUUGUUCUUUCUGCCCAGAAAAUUCAUCCUCCAGCUAGGACACAGCAUGUGACACAACAGUAUUUCUAAAACCUUUUGAGCAAAAGUCCAUCCACUCCAGUGCACCUGUAACGGGGCUGCCCAGUGCAGUCAUGCACAGCCCCACCCUCAGAAGGGGCACGCACUUGGACUUGCCAUCCUGAAAUCCCCAAUAAUUGUAUCUUUGAAUGUGUGCUUCAUAAGUGAGGUCCCUGGGACAAUGGAGCAGGGGACGUGGCACUCUUCUCACAGGCAAUCCUACCUCCACCAUCUCCCCACUUCUCGCCUCUCGGCUGGCUGCUCUCUCUGCCCUGGUUCUUUGGUCCCUCGUGAUGCCAUCUCAAAGCACUGUAUCCACCACCUGGGGUAGAAACCAAGGAACCCUGGAGGGAGAGGCUUGCAUUCUGCUGUCAUCCUCUGCCCCCAGCAGGAGGAGGACCAGGGGUAAGGUGUCCACGCUGUAGAAUCUUGGAACAGGGUCACCCUGCACCUGGCUGGCAGCACCACUGCACAUUUGAAUGGCAACUUGGGGGACGGGGCGGGUGAGCUUCAAUCCAGGUAGCGAGCAAUCCAGGCACAGGUGGGGCCGCUGGCAUUCGAGGAGGGGAAACUGCCUCUGCCACCCCACCUGCCUCCACAUUUUCAUUUUGCGCCAGGGCCCACAGAGUAUCUCUAAGACUGUAUUUUAUGACUAUAAAUGGCCCGUGCCGUCUAGGAACCAACAGGACUGUGCCUCAUCUAUGCUAAUACACGAAAUGACAUUUCCGAAGCCUCAGGUAAUGACUAUUUGACAAUCCUCAGCCCCUGGUCAGCAGGUCACCCAGGGGCCACCAGAGACAGAUGGCGAAUCUCCACCUGGUUCAAGGAACAGUACAAGAUGGUACUAACCGAGCUGGGGAUGGAGCUGCAGUCAAGGCCAGGCUGUUGUGUUGCCGAAAUCUCAGCCACCUCUGCACAUGGAUGAUGCCAAAUAGAAACCCAGAGGCAGAGCUGGAAGAAACAGAAAAGGUAGCUUUAAUUGCCAGGCAAAGAGGGGACACAGUGGGCUAGUGCCUCGAAGACUGUGUCCGUCCUUUAGAGGGGCUAGUGAGGAGUCUUAGUGUUGAAGGAGCCGGGGUGUUGGGAGAUGUCCAACAAGAGAUGCAGCUUUGCUACAGCAGCUAUCACAUCUUCCCCACUGGUGGGUGGCGAGGUCCCUGGGGCUCCGCAUCAUCAGCCUUCUGGGGCCCCGCAUCAUCGGCCUUCUGGGGCCGAUGUGCUGCGGGUGCUGACUUCUUCCACCUGCCGGGGCUUCGGCACCUGUCAAACGGCUUCAAGGACAUUGCUCAGAAUAUUAUCUAUAGUCUUUGAAGAACUGAAGGUGCUCGACGGUGUUGAAGGGCUAAGCUCGUAUUGCUCUGUCUUGCUUGGCUGUUUUCCUUUUUCUCUGUAUUUCUCAUUUCUCUGAUUUAACUCAUUUUUGAUUAGCGGUUUUCUAUGGAUAAAAAGGCAGGUGGAGCCAUGAGUGGGGUCCCCCCCGGGAGGCUCGCAGGGUCCGGCUUGGGUAGGGUGGCACCGGGAGAAGCAUCUAAGUAGAUGACAAGCCUUCCUGCUCCGAGUCAGGGCCCUGCCUGCCCUCCUCCAGAAGCGUGUCCCACCGCCGCGCCGCUGCUUGAGAUGGCUUUGAUGGAAGGCAGCACCUGUCCUCCUUUGCUGCGGCUGGCGCGGG
ensembl:lncRNA